AUACGAAGGGUGCAAGCGUUAAUCGGAAUUACUGGGCGUAAAGCGCGCGUAGGUGGUUUUGUAAGUUGGAGGUGAAAGCCCCGGGCUCAACCUGGGAAUUGCCUCCAAAACUGCAUGACUAGAGUACGGUAGAGGGUAGUGGAAUUUCCUGUGUAGCGGUGAAAUGCGUAGAUAUAGGAAGGAACACCAGUGGCGAAGGCGACUCCCGGGGCAGAUACUGACCGUGGGGUGCGAAAGCGUGGGGGAGAAACAGGAUUUGAUUCCCUGGUAGUCCACCCCGUAAACGAUUUCAACUAGCCGUUGGGAUCCUUGAGACCUUAGUGGCGCAGCUAACGCAUUAAGUUGACCGCCUGGGGAGUACGGCCGCAAGGUUAAAACUCAAAUGAAUUGACGGGG
rnacentral:rRNA from 1 species